rnacentral:rRNA from 1 species
AACGAACGCUGGCGGCAUGCCUAACACAUGCAAGUCGAACGAGACCUUCGGGUCUAGUGGCGCACGGGUGCGUAACGCGUGGGAACCUGCCUUUAGGUUCGGAAUAACUCAGAGAAAUUUGAGCUAAUACCGGAUGAUGUCUUCGGACCAAAGAUUUAUCGCCUUUAGAUGGGCCCGCGUUGGAUUAGCUAGUUGGUGUGGUAAAGGCCUACCAAGGCGACGAUCCAUAGCUGGUCUGAGAGGAUGAUCAGCCACACUGGGACUGAGACACGGCCCAGACUCCUACGGAAGGCAGCAGUGGGGAAUAUUGGACAAUGGGCGAAAGCCUGAUCCAGCAAGGCCGCGUGAGUGAUGAAGGCCUUAGGGUUGUAAAGCUCUUUUACCCGAGAUGAUAAUGACAGUAUCGGGAGAAUAAGCUCCGGCUAACUCCGUG